AUUGGUCUAUAUUUGUGUAACAGAGUUAAUAAUACAUAUGAAAAACAUGCACUUACCUGUUCUUAAUUAUCAUUUUAAGUGUGAAUUUUAUCUUUUUUUUUUUAAUUGUAUUUUAUUUUGAAAACCCAGAAACCGGAUCUCACCCUAACGUUUAGAAGCUGCUAAGGCUUCCGCUCCUCACAGCGCGCGCUUGCACUGUGAGGGUAAGUCCGGAGCUACAAUUGCCGGUACCACCAGAAGACACCUGUUGAAUGUGUUUUAUGUCUUCUGCAGGUAUGUGAGCUUGUUAACAGCCAUUUUGUCUGUAAAGCACAAGCAAGUGAAGAUGUAAUGCGCUAUUGUUAAUUUGUCCACUAGAGGGAAAUGUUUAGUCGGUGGUAUUUAUGUUUAUCCUGUUAUUUUGUUUUAUACGAUUAGGGAAAUGUUUAGUCGGUGGUAUUUAUGUUUAUCCUGU
ensembl:lncRNA